rnacentral:rRNA from 1 species
GACGUAGGGGGCGAGCGUUGUCCGGAUUUAUUGGGCGUAAAGCGCGCGCAGGCGGCUCGGAAAGUCGGGUGUGAAAACCCGGGGCUCAACCCCGGACCUGCAUCCGAUACUCCCGGGCUAGAGGCAGGUAGGGGAGAGUGGAAUUCCUGGUGUAGCGGUGAAAUGCGCAGAUAUCAAGAGGAACACCAGUGGCGAAGGCGAGUCCCUGGACGAUACCUGACACUGAGGCACGAAAGCUAGGGGAGCAAACAGG